ACGCUCGACACCUACGGGAGGCAGCAGUGGGGAAUAUUGCACAAUGGGGGAAACCCUGAUGCAGCGACGCCGCGUGACUGAAGAAGUAUUUCGGUAUGUAAAGGUCUAUCAGCAAGGAAGAAGAAAGACGGUACUUGACUAAGAAGCCCCGGCUAACUACGUACCAGCAGCCGCGGUAAUCUGAGCGGGCUGGCAAGGC
rnacentral:rRNA from 1 species